rnacentral:rRNA from 1 species
AUUGAACGCUGGCGGCAGGCCUAACACAUGCAAGUCGAGCGGAUGAAGGGAGCUUGCUCCUGGAUUCAGCUGCGGACGGGUGAGUAAUGCCUAGGAAUCUGCCUGGUAUUUGGGGAUAACGUCCGUAAACGGGCGCUAAUACCGCAUACGUCCUGAGGGAGAAAGUGGGGGAUCUUCGGACCUCACGCUAUCAGAUGAGCCUAGGUCGGAUUAGCUAGUUGGUGGGGUAAAGGCCUACCAAGGCGACGAUCCGUAACUGGUCUGAGAGGAUGAUCAGUCACACUGGAACUGAGACACGGUCCAGACUCCUACGGGAGGCAGCAGUGGGGAAUAUUGGACAAUGGGCGAAAGCCUGAUCCAGCCAUGCCGCGUGAGUGAAGAAGGUCUUCGGAUUGUAAAGCACUUUAAGUUGGGAGGAAGGGAAGUAAGUUAAUACCUUGAUGUCUUGACGUUACCAACAGAAUAAGCCCCGGCUAACUUCGUG